AUAAACCACACAAAACACAUAAAACGAUCAAUAAAACAAACAAAACAAACGAAUCCCAAAAUAUAGUAUACAGUCCAAUUAUUACAACCCGAAAUGAAAAAGGUACUGAAAAGUAAACCUACGCUAACCUACACCAAACUACGCUCCAAUGCCUUACCCAAUACUUUGGGCCUUCAUCACGGGCAUCCUCCGAGUACAUGAUAUGUCGGGGCAUUCCCUGGUGAAUAAAUACAAUUCCUUUAGGGCAUUCCCCGGCAAAUGAAUACAAUGUCAAUUUUAUGCGAUAAACCAGAAAAACAUCCAACAAAUAUUUCAAACACUCCAACAAUUUCACUAAUUCUAAAUUUGCCUACCCGAGCCUACUAUUUGCCCCCGCUCAACGACAUAUAACGUUCAAAAUCAACAAUGAAUCAAAAUACCAUAAUAUUCACUUUUAUCAAUUUUUGAUUCCCGACCCAAAUCCAUUCUAAACAUCAAUAAAGUGUCAUUUCAAUACACAAUCCAUUAUCACAAAAUGAAUCACAUAAUCGUAACAACAACAAUUUAUAUCAUGUUCUGAAUAGAAUAAAUAAUGAAAUAAAAAGAUGAAGGAAGUAGAAUUGGACCUCAAUUUGAUGAUUUUAUUUCGAUUAAACCUAGAUGGACCAAAACUCACAAAGCCACGGAACCUCAACAAAUCCACCUUCACGGUCAACUUUCAUGUCUAGGCCUCCUCGGACUGUUUGAAGAAGGUAAGGAAACAAGACAGUUUUUUUCUUUUUUUGAUCGAUUUUAGAAGAUGAUUCAACCGGAGUGACAAACUCCGAUAGGCUUGAAACAGUGACGAGAAAAGAGGGUUUUGACAUAUUGUUGAAAUUUCCAGUGAAAUUGGAUGGAAACAAACCGAAUCUCGAUGAAUUUUGGACGGUUGAUGAUGUUCUCCGGCGAGAAUCGAUUGGAACAACAACAACGAUAACUAGCGGUGUUCACCGAUUGGCGAUUCCGGUGAGAAUUCGUCGGAAUAACUGUUCCUCUCUAAUUUUUCUCUUCUUUUUCAGCUCCCGCAUUUUACUCCCUCUCUCGCGCGUGUUUUCUCUCCUCUCUCAUGCUCAAAUCUCUCUCUAUAUAGGGUUUUCUCUCCAUUCAUGGUGGGUCUUUGUGUUUUUUGUGUGAAUCAGUGUAUUUUGUGUAUUUUAUGGAAGAAUCCCAUGUGGUCUGUGCGUGUAUGGAGUUUUUGUUGUGCCUCCGUGAAGAAGAAAGAGUUCCAAAAAUGGAAAAAAAAGAAAGAAAAAAAAACUGUGCGUGAGAAUGUCCCCCUUUUGCUUGUGUGAUGGAAAGAUAUAUUGUUCAAGAAAAGAAAAUA
rnacentral:lncRNA from 1 species